rnacentral:miRNA from 1 species
AUUCUCACCACCAUUCUCAACACU